UAUGACGUUAGCGGCGGACGGGUGAGUAACACGUGGGCAACCUGCCUGUAAGACUGGGAUAACUUCGGGAAACCGAAGCUAAUACCGGAUAGGAUCUUCUCCUUCAUGGGAGAUGAUUGAAAGAUGGUUUCGGCUAUCACUUACAGAUGGGCCCGCGGUGCAUUAGCUAGUUGGUGAGGUAACGGCUCACCAAGGCAACGAUGCAUAGCCGACCUGAGAGGGUGAUCGGCCACACUGGGACUGAGACACGGCCCAGACUCCUACGGGAGGCAGCAGUAGGGAAUCUUCCGCAAUGGACGAAAGUCUGACGGAGCAACGCCGCGUGAGUGAUGAAGGCUUUCGGGUCGUAAAACUCUGUUGUUAGGGAAGAACAAGUACAAGAGUAACUGCUUGUACCUUGACGGUACCUAACCAGAAAGCCACGGCUAACUACGUG
rnacentral:rRNA from 1 species